AGGCCCCCGCCACCGGCACUUUGCACCCACCUACUCCUUGGCGGGUAGGGGGCAGAAAAGUUUUGAGGCGCUCUCAUCGCAGCCUCCGGGGUGGUUGAACUGGUUUUUGUUUUGUGUGGCCGAAGCCAAAAAUCCCAGUGCCCAAGAACCGGGGAAUGAUGUUUAGGGGUCUAAAACGGGUCGGUGCUAGGCUUCGACUCCUUGUUCUGCGACACUAGAGUCCGCGCUGGAAGGAUAGAGCAAGACCCUCGGAGUUGCAUCACCUCUGGAAGAAACUCCGUAGCAUGAUGCUGAUUUGCAUGUUCUCUGCCCCCAUCUCGGCGAUCUUCUUCAGGCGCGCAUCCAUUGACUGAGCCGCGUCUCUCGGCACCCCCAGCAUUUCCCAGAGUGCAACAACACCACCCGAGAUCAAUGACCAGUCUGUUUAUUCUUGACGCGCCGGGAAGAGCAAGGCACUGAAGGAGCAUGGGAGGAAGACUUGGGGCUUGCCUCUUGGCGACCUCUCGCAGACUUUUUCUAGCUGGAUUUCUAAACGGCAGCUAGCAAGCAAAUAGAGUUCCUCAAUGCACGCCAUCACAUACCAAUGACGAUAUAUUCAUCUAGAAAUGUGAUACAUCCUUUUUCCCUCCACCCCCUUUCACCUUUUGUCGAUUUGUCUCUGGAGGUGGAUUGCUAAUACCUGAGAUUUUGCACUUGUCUAGGGCGGAAACUUUCUGGGGUGUUUGACGAUUGAUUAUUUGGUACCUGCUUUCUAAAAAUGGCUAAACACCUUUCCUUGGAACAAAAGUGAGAAAUGCAAAUCCUAAUAACUCAAGGCAAAAAUUUCAAAGUGUAAGCACAGUUAUUAUCCACUCCCACAAAGAAAAGCUUACUCUUCCACAAAUAUUUGAUAGCAUAGAGCCCAGUAAUUAAGAGAACAAUCAAAUAAACUCAAGGCUUUCAUGGGGACUCUAAAUUAUCAUCUGCCUAGAAUUUAUAAGCGGUGUAAUCAUUUGCCAACUUGGAUAUAGCUCUAGAUAUAGCAUUCUAAAUGUGUAUCCUUAAACAGUUAAGUUUUCUUAAGUAUUUAAUGAGCGAGAUCACGGAUAAUAAUAAUAUUCAAAUUGCUGGAUCAAUGUGGCCUCACCAACUGUGUGAAAAAAUUCCCUUCAUGUGUGCAUGAAACGUCUUGCCUAUAUGUUACCUUUCCUAACAUUUCCUAUGCAUGCAAGCAAGCUUCAAGUCUGAGCCACUUGCAUAAUAAGAAUAUAAGAAUACCUAAGAAUGCAUCAAUAAUUGUGCUGUACCUUGAAUUUAAGUGUAAUUUUUAUGCUAAAGAGUUCUUGGCAUAUAUUACAUGAUUUAUCCUCAUAAUACAUAUGUAGUUGCUUUUCACAGCUCUUAGUAUGAAGGUCCUUAUAUAAUGUAAAAGAAGCAAAUCAGGCCAACUGCAAAAAAAAAAAAAAAAAAAAAAA
rnacentral:lncRNA from 1 species